rnacentral:rRNA from 1 species
CCAAUAGCGUAUAUUCAAGUUGUUGCAGUUAAAAAGCUCGUAGUUGAAUUUCGGGGUCUAUCCAUUGGUCGGGCUUUAUUGUCCGUACUGGUGUGAUGGGUUCCUACCUUCUGAAUAACCGGCAUGCCAUUCAUUUGGUGCGUCGGGGACGCAGAUCUAUUACCUUGAAAAAAUUAGAGUGCUUACAGCAGGCUAGUGCUUGAAUAGAUUAGCAUGGCAUAAUAAAAUAGGACGGCAUGGUUCUAUUUUGUUGGUUUCUAGGAUCACCGUAAUGAUUAAUAGGGAUAGUUGGGGGCAUUAGUAUUCAAUUGUCAGAGGUUAAAUUCCUGGAUUUAUUGAAGACUAACUUCUGCGAAAGCAUUUGCCAAGGAUGUUUUCAUUAAUCAAGAACGAAAGUUAGGGGAUCGAAGACGAUCAGAUACCGUCGUAGUCUUAACCAUAAACUAUGCCGACUAGGGAUCGGACGAAGUUAAUUUUUUAAUGACUCGUUCGGCGCCUUACG